GGGGGGGGCAAGCGUUGUUCGGAAUUACUGGGCGUAAAGGGCUCGUAGGCGGCCAACUAAGUCAGACGUGAAAUCCCCUCGGCUUAACCGGGGAACUGCGUCCGAUACUGGUUGGCUUGAGUUUGGGAGAGGGCUGCGGAAUUCCAGGUGUAGCGGUGAAAUGCGUAGAUAUCUGGAGGAACACCGGUGGCGAAGGCGGCAUCCUGGACCAACACUGACGCUGAGGAGCGAAAGCCAGGGGAGCAAACGGGAUUAGAUACCCCGGUAGUCCUGGCCCUAAACGAUGAAUGCUUGGUGUGGCGGGUAUCGAUCCCUGGCGUGGCGAAGCUAACGCAUUAAGCAUUCCGCCUGGGGAGUACGGUCGCAAGGCUG
rnacentral:rRNA from 1 species